UGAAUCUAAAACUUUAACUUA
rnacentral:rRNA from 1 species